rnacentral:tRNA from 2 species
GCCGGUGUGGCGCAAUUGGCAGCGCUCUCGACUUGUAAUCGAGGGGUUAGGGGUUCGAGUCCCCUCGCCGGCUCCA